rnacentral:tRNA from 1 species
GGCUCUCGUAGCUCAACGGAUAGAGCAACUUCCUUCUAAGAAGUAGGUUGUGAGUUCGAU